rnacentral:tRNA from 1 species
GGCUUUAUAUUCAAUUAUGAUAUUAAAUUGCAAAUUUAAUGGUGGGUUUCCUAAGGCUU